rnacentral:rRNA from 1 species
GAUGAACGCUGGCGGCGUGCUUAACACAUGCAAGUCGAACGGAAAGGCCCUACCUUUCUUGGGUACUCGAGUGGCGAACGGGUGAGUAACACGUGGGUGAUCUGCCCUUCACUUCGGGAUAAGCCCGGGAAACUGGGUCUAAUACCGGAUAGGACGAUCUUUUGGAUGCCAGGGGUGGGAGUGUUUUCGCUGUGGGGUGAGCUCGCGGCCUAUCAGCUUGUUUGUGGGGUAAUGUCCUACCAAGGCGUCGACGCGUAGCCGGCCUGAGAGAGUGUACGGACACAUUGGGAGUGUGAGACGGGCCAGAGUCCUCUGGGGGGCAGAAGUGGGGAAUAUUGCACAAUGGGGGCAAGCGUGAGGCAGAGAAGCCGCGUGGGGGAUGACGGCCUUCGCGUUGUAAAAUCCUUUCGCUAGGGACGAAGCGUUUUUGUGACGGUACCUGGAGAAGAAGCACCGGCUAACUACGUG